ensembl:lncRNA
AAAAUUAGGUUGAAUGAACUAUUUUAUUUAAAAAUUAGCUCAUGCUUUCCAUGAAGGUCUACUUUUCCCUGUGAUCUUGCCCAAAUCCCUUAAUUUGUGUCACUUAGAAUAAAAUGACUGCUGAGCGUAAAGAAGAUUUGAAUUGUCUUCUGUAUUGCUAAAUAAUGGUUACCUGGGGAGAUACAAAAUUUAAAUUGGAAUUGUAUGAGCUAGAGCUGAUGAUAUAUUAGAUGUAUUAUCUCCAACCUGAGACCUCCAGUCAAGAGGGAAGGUCAUCUGUUAAAGAUGUUAAAAAGCGCUGCACCAGAAAAUGGAGCUGGAAUGAUUUGCAACAAUAGUCUGUGAUGUACUGAACCUGUACUGGACAAAUGCCCCGGAGAAGGGAGAGGAGUGUGAAUUACCUCAAAUUCUUCUCCAAGUAUUCCCAAUGAGAACAAGAUAAUUGGAAGUAGAUGGAGACUCCCCUCUUGUCUCCUCCUUGCUGAAGUGAAGCCAGAUUUCUGAGGGAGAAAUGUACUUGUCCUCCCUUAUGGGAGAGCCUUCCCAUGGAACAAGAUGGAAUCUCUGAUGCUUGGUGUUUCCUGGGGCUGGGUUCGGUAUUGCUGAAGGUUGGGGUUAAUAGCAUUAGCAUGAGCCAUCCAUCAGUGAAAUGCUAAGAAACAGCAGUAUUGCUAUUUAACUUAACUCUGUUUUUCUAGCUGUUAAUUAUUCUCCUUUUAUGUCUUUUCAUGUUUAAGCUGUGUAAUUGUGCAUAACAAAAUGUUUGUUAUUACCUGCUGUGAUUUUGAAUAAUUCGUGGUAUUAACAUGCAAUUUGGGACCAUCAUAUAUUCUCUUUGGAGCAAAAUGAACGUUCCUUUACUGUUUUUGUGUCUUUGAAGGUGUGUGGUAAUCAGGGUUUGGCUCACACAGUCUUUUCUCAGGAAGUCAAUUUUGAAUCCACUGAACAUAAUGGCAUAAUGAAGACACAGUAGAUAUGUGCAGCAUAUUAUUAAGAAAUAGCUUGUUGAGGUACAUGGUAACCUGAGCAAAGCAGCCCAGGACCUCUGCAAACAGCAGUGUCUUGUACUUCCAGUUAAUUUCUUCUGCAGAUGUAGUCAGUGACACCAGUGUGUUUAUCCCACACCAGUGUUACUGCUCCUACAAAUUUCAUUUCAUUGUGUUCUUAAUGGAUGGGUUAACCAUAUCUAAAAAUAAAAAAGUAUUUUUCCC